CUGACUAGAGAACAAACUACCAAUUAACGAGCGAGGAAACAGGGCCAGAGAAUUGGAACAAAAUACAAGGCUGCCUCUGAAAGGAAUAUCUUUGUGCUGAUGUGUCCAUCAAGAGAACAUACACAGAAGUGACACUUGCCAGUAAUUUGCAAGCAGAUGGAACUUCAAUAUGGCAAUAGAGAAAGAAUCAAUUAGACCAGAGUCUCCUCAGGAAGACUUUCUAUAGGUGGACGGUCCCCUGGAGAGCCCGCUGUGUUGGAAGAUGUAGAAUAUUCAUAUAUCUGGUGAGCAUCUGCUAGAUGCCAGGGUUGGGGAGAGUCAAGUUGAAGCAAGCAUGAACCCUCAAGGACCUACCAUUUCAAGGCAAGAAAUAGAUACAAAUACAGAAAAUAUUUACUGGAUAGCUACUAGACAUAAGGAUGCAGAAAUGAAUUAGAAAAAUUCCUCGCCCUUGUUCAAAGCUAUGCUGGCUCUUAGAACAUCUGAGCCCCCACUGUUUCAUCUUUAGAGGAUCCCAGCUGCUGGGGUGUGAGGCCAGUGCUGGAGCCAGCAGUCUCUGACCCAGAAGGGACCUGAGGUGCUAAAGAAAAUGUCACAGAUGGAGUCCAAAAACAAAAUAACGGCCUGCUCCAUUCUGAUUCAAGUUCUCAUUUGCCUGUGCCCUGCUUUCCCAAGAGCCUAGUGACUGAUUGCAGACCCUUGAUUUCUGUGAGCUUAGACUAAUAGGUAUUGCAGGCAUACAUUCUGGGCUGAAGAUAACCAGAAAGCCAGCAACCUGAUGGGAGGAACAUUCAUUGCACAAGCUGAGAGUGAAAUGAGCUUCUACAUCAGGAUAUUUAACACAGACACAGAGAGGACGGUGCCACUGGAAGUCAUGCAGCCGCAAGUCAAGAAAUGUCAUGAGUGGCUCCUCUCCAGAAACUAGGAGAGGAGCAUGGGGCAGGUUUUCUCCUAGUGCCUUCAGAGACACAUGGCCCUGCCGACACCUUGAGUUUGGAUUUUUGGCCUCCAGAACUGGGUACAAGCUGGAAAAGGGGAAAAUGAAUCAUGCUACAGGCCAAGUGUCCAUCACUGAUUCCCAGAGAUGCCCUUUGUGUGGUAGGCACUUCCAUGUGGACUCGCUACAGAGUUUGGAGUUCCUGAACAACAUGGACAGUGUUAAUUUGGAUUCCAUGCUUCAUGGCACAGAAUUGGAGCACUAACUACUCAGUGAUGACUUUCUCUUCCUCUAGCUAAGGUGAUCAACAAGUUUCCUUGUUCUUUCUCCAAGUAGUAGAAGAAAGUAAAGGUCAUAAGACCCUAAUUCCAGAGGGCCCUACCCUAUAACCAGAAGGAAGAACUAUUGCACAGAGAAUCUAAGAAGAAUCUAGACAGACAGCCCUUGCUGGAUUUCUCCACUCUGUUAGCAUUCGAUCAUUUGCCUUUUGUCCAGUCAUAUUUCUGCAUGGCUGUCCAUACUUUGUUGAACCUAAGCACAAAAUGGAAAGUUUUCCCUGUAUCUUUGGGUCGUCAU
rnacentral:lncRNA from 1 species